GUCUGAUCAUGGCUCAGAUUGAACGUUAUGAUGCUUUACACAUGCAAGUCGAACGGCAGCACGGACUUCGGUCUGGUGGCGAGUGGUAAUCGCGAGUAAUGUAUCGGAACGUGCCUAGUAGCGGGGGAUAACUACGCGAAAGGUAGCCAAUACCGCAUACGCCCUUCGGGGGAAAGCGGGGGACCUUCGGGCCUCGCAAUUUAUUAGAGCGGCCGAUAUCGGAUUAGCUAGUUGGUGGCAACGGCUCACUGGCUAGCGACGAUCCGUAGCUGGUUUGAGAGGACGACCAGCCACACUGGGACUGAGACACGGCCCAGACUCCUACGGAGCAGCAGUGGGAAAUUUUGACAAUGGGGAAACCCUGAUCCAGCCAUCCCUGUGCGAUGAAGGCUCGGGUUGUAAAGCACUUUUGGCAGGAAAAAGAAACGGCACGGGAUAAUACCCCGUGCAACUGACGGUACCUGCAGAAUAAGCACCGGCCAACUACGUGCCAGCAGCCGCGGUAAUACGUAGGGUGCAAGUAAUCGGAAUUACUGGGCGUAAAGCGUGCGCAGGCGAGUUCGGAAAGAAAGAUGUGAAAUCCCAGAGCUUAACUUUGGAACUGCAUUUUUAACUACCGAGCUAGGAGUGUGUCAGAGGGAGGUAAAUUCCGCGUGUAGCAGUGAAAUGCGUAGAUAUGCGGAGGAACACCGAUGGCGAAGGCAGCCUCCUGGGAUAACACUGACGCUCAUGCACGAAAGCGUGGGGAGCAAACAGGAUUAGAUACCCUGGUAGUCCACGCCCUAAACGAUGUCAACUAGCUGUUGGGGCUUUCUGGCCUUGGUAGCGCAGCGACGGUAUAGUUGACCGCCUGGGGAGCAUGUCGCAAAGAUUAAAACUCAAAGGAAUUGACGGGGACCCGCACAAGCGUGGAUGAUGAUUGUCUCGAUGCAAAUGGCGAAAACCUUACCUACUCCUUGACAUGUCUGAAUCCCUAAAGAGAUUGGGAGUGCUGCAAGAGAACCGGAACACAGGUGCUGCAUGGCUGUCGUCAGCUCGUGUCGUGAGAUGUUGGGUUAAGUCCCGCAACGAGCGCAACCCUUGUCAUUAGUUGCUACGUGAAAGGGCACUCGGGACGACUGCCGGUGACAAAUCCUGGAGGAAGGGGGAUGUGACGCUGGUCUCGCAGGCCUUGCGGUAGGGCUUCAACACGUCAGUAAGCAAUGGUCGGGAUAGAGGUGGUCGCCAACCCGCGAGGGGGAGCCAAUCCCAGAAACCCGAUCGUAGCUUCGGAUCGCAGUCUGCACCGACUGCGUGAAGUCGGAAUCGCUAGUAAUCGCGGAUCAGCAUGUCGCGGUGAAUACGUUCCCCGGGUCUUGUACACACCGCCCGUCACACCAUGGGAGUGGGUUUUACCAGAAGUAGUUAGCCUAACCGGGAGGAGGGCGAUUACCACGGUAGGAUUCAUGACUGGGUGAAGUCGUAACAAGGUAA
rnacentral:rRNA from 1 species